rnacentral:rRNA from 1 species
UACGUAGGGUGCAAGCGUUGUCCGGAAUUAUUGGGCGUAAAGAGCUCGUAGGCGGUCUGUCGCGUCGGCUGUGAAAACCCGUGGCUCAACUACGGGCUGGCGGUCGAUACGGGCAGGCUGGAGUUCGGUAGGGGAGACUGGAAUUCCUGGUGUAGCGGUGAAAUGCGCAGAUAUCAGGAGGAACACCGGUGGCGAAGGCGGGUCUCUGGGCCGAUACUGACGCUGAGGAGCGAAAGCGUGGGGAGCGAACAGG